rnacentral:rRNA from 1 species
ACAUGCAAGUCGAACGAUGAAGCCGGAGCUUGCUCUGGUGGAUUAGUGGCGAACGGGUGAGUAACACGUGAGUAACCUGCCCUUGACUCUGGAAUAAGCGUUGGAAACGACGUCUAAUACUGGAUACGAGCUUCAGCCGCAUGGCUAGGAGCUGGAAAGAAUUUCGGUCAAGGAUGGACUCGCGGCCUAUCAGGUAGUUGGUGAGGUAAUAGCUCACCAAGCCUACGACGGGUAGCCGGCCUGAGAGGGUGACCGGCCACACUGGAACUGAGACACGGUCCAGACUCCUACGGGAGGCAGCAGUGGGGAAUAUUGCACAAUGGGCGCAAGCCUGAUGCAGCAACGCCGCGUGAGGGACGACGGCCUUCGGGUUGUAAACCUCUUUUAGUAGGGAAGAAGCGAAAGUGACGGUACCUGCAGAAAAAGCACCGGCUAACUACGUGCCAGCAGCCGCGGUAAUACGUAGGGUGCAAGCGUUAUCCGGAAUUAUUGGGCGUAAAGAGCUCGUAGGCGGUUUGUCGCGUCUGCUGUGAAAACUGGGGGCUCAACCCCCAGCCUGCAGUGGGUACGGGCAGACUAGAGUGCGGUAGGGGAGAUUGGAAUUCCUGGUGUAGCGGUGGAAUGCGCAGAUAUCAGGAGGAACACCAAUGGCGAAGGCAGAUCUCUGGGCCGUUACUGACGCUGAGGAGCGAAAGCAUGGGGAGCGAACAGGAUUAGAUACCCUGGUAGUCCAUGCCGUAAACGUUGGGAACUAGAUGUAGGGACCAUUCCACGGUUUCUGUGUCGCAGCUAACGCAUUAAGUUCCCCGCCUGGGGAGUACGGCCGCAAGGCUAAAACUCAAAGGAAUUGACGGGGGCCCGCACAAGCGGCGGAGCAUGCGGAUUAAUUCGAUGCAACGCGAAGAACCUUACCAAGACUUGACAUAUACGAGAACGGGCUAGAAAUAGUCAACUCUUUGGACACUCGUAAACAGGUGGUGCAUGGUUGUCGUCAGCUCGUGUCGUGAGAUGUUGGGUUAAGUCCCGCAACGAGCGCAACCCUCGUUCUUUGUUGCCAGCACGUA